rnacentral:ncRNA from 1 species
AGCGGUAGAUCUAGACAAAUGAAGGCGGGUCUUCGGACCAGCAGCUAGGAUUAAACCUGGUGGGAUCCUUCGUCUAGAAUACCGCUGUGUU